rnacentral:rRNA from 1 species
UGACUCACGCAGGAAUCUUACCGGGUCCGGACACACUGAGGAUUGACAGAUAACUUGCUGUUAUACGGUGCAAAAUAUGAUAGCUCUUUCGGUGUUGGUGGGCCGUGGUGCAUGGCCGUUCUUAGUUCGUGGAGUGAUCUGUCUGCUUAAUUGCGUUGGUAUAUAUAAUGCAUGUUAAUUGCAUUUUUACCAUGCAACGAACGUGACCGCAACCUCUUGUUGCACUAUAGCUUCUCAUGGUGCAAAACUAGAGGGACCGCUGUAUUUAUUUCUUUUAGCCAGAGGAAGGAUGCGGCAAUAACAGGUCUGUGAUGC